GGGCGGAUAGCUCAGAGGUGAGAGCGCCUGCCUUACAAGCAGGAGGUCGUAGGUUCAAAUCCUGCUCCGCCCACCA
rnacentral:tRNA from 1 species